rnacentral:rRNA from 1 species
UACGGAGGGUGCGAGCGUUGUCCGGAAUCACUGGGCUUAAAGCGCGUGUAGGCGGGACGGCACGUCGGUCGCUGAAAGCCCCCGGCUCAACCGGGGAACGGGCGCCGAUACGACCGUCCUGGAGGGACGUAGGGGGACCUGGAACAUCCGGUGGAGCGGUGAAAUGCGUUGAGAUCGGAUGGAACGCCCGUGGCGAAAGCGAGGUCCUGGACGUUUUCUGACGCUGAGACGCGAAAGCCAGGGGAGCGAACGGG